rnacentral:tRNA from 1 species
GGGCCUGUGGCGCAGUUGGUAGCGCGCUUCGUUCGCAAUGAAGAGGNNUCAGGGGUUCGAAUCCCCUCAGGUCCACCG